AUACGGAGGGAGCGAGCGUUAAUCGGAAUUACUGGGCGUAAAGCGCGCGUAGGCGGCUUUGUAAGUCGGAUGUGAAAGCCCAGGGCUCAACCCUGGAAUUGCAUUCGAUACUGCAUGGCUAGAGUAUGGUAGAGGGAAGUGGAAUUUCCGGUGUAGCGGUGAAAUGCGUAGAUAUCGGAAGGAACACCAGUGGCGAAGGCGACUUCCUGGACCAAAACUGACGCUGAGGUACGAAAGCGUGGGGAGCAAACAGGAUUAGAAACCCCAGUAGUCC
rnacentral:rRNA from 1 species